GUGCACCAAGAGCAGCCUCACAUGGUGUAGGCCGACAUGAAGAGCUGCCGGAUCCAACAGCUCCCAUCAAGGAAGAUCCAGAAACAUUCUCCUCACCAAGGCAUUAAGAAAUGCACGGGUGAGGGGAACAGUGGCGUGACUGUCAAGUACCUGUGGUACCUACUGUCUGCAAACUGGAGGUCAUGGCGGGAGAUGCUGCAUGGAUUUGCCCUGGCUGCUGUCAGUGAGAAGAACAGGGUUCUGGAAGAGCAGAGGACAGGCCGUGGGACUUGGCCAUCUAGAGACAAGGCGGGAGGGAUUUCUUUGAGAGGUAGGGUUAUGUGGUGGUUACUAAUCAUUGUGAGGUGUCUGGGAAUGUAAUGGAUGGGAAAUCUAGUAAGAAAUGAACUUUUGUAAUAAUUAGAAAAGCUCUAGUUCUGAGGACAGAGACCUGAUGCAGUCACCAUAGUGGGAAUUUAUGACCUGGCAUCCAGUUGAGAUGCCUGGAGCUUCUUGACUGAGGGGAGAUGGAUCCCUUGAGGAAGAGUGAAGCCUUCAAUGUUGCCGCAAGUGUAUGCUGUCAAUCUUCCUUCAGGCCUCCCCCUGAAGGACCUGAAGUCAUUUAUGUGAGUGACUGAGGAAAGGGAGAUACUCAGAGCUUCUGUGGCUUGUUAGAUUCUGGCUCUGAAGAAUGCUAACCUAAGGGCACCUGUGGUGGCCAUGAAAAUGCACUACUUGCAUCUCCAGCAGCAGGAGGCCUAACGAAUCAACAGCCCAGGCUGCUACACUCCGAAUUGAAGACUUGGUGACAUUUCCCCUGCGUCUGUGCUAGCCCAUGAUGAGGAAAGCCUCAUAUCAAGUCCUCUCAACAGAACACCCCUGAUGACUGAUGAGGAUGUUGAAGCUGUUUUCCUGUGGCAGCUGUGAUUUACUUUCUUCAAAGUCUGUUUUGUUCAUACACAUUAACUGAUUUGUAUAAAACAGGAGAAUAAAUGCCUAGACCAUCUUUUAUUGAUAAACUCUAGUUCUGAGGACAGAAGCUUGAUGGAGUCAGUAUAGUGGGAAUUUAUAACUUGGCAUCCAGUUCAGAGACUUGGAUCUUCUUGACUGAGAGGAGAUCGGGUCCCUCUGGGGAACAAAGAAGCCUUCAAUGUUGUUUCAAGUGUAUCCUGUAAAUCUUCCUCUAGGCCUUCCCAGAGCGACCUGCUAUAUGAUUUAUGAUCUAGUGACCCCAAAUUCAGAGUGUUCUCAUCUACUCUGAAGAAUGCAAUAUCUUACUCCUCUGGUUUCAACCUAGUACCAAUAUUUGUGUGUAGCUAUGCAGCUUAAUAGACCAAAGCUAAUUAGAUGAGGAAUGGUAGACCCAAUUCAACCGUACAGGCAUCAACCAUAUCAGCAUACAGGCAUCCCUCUCCCACCGUUUUAUUUUUGUCCCCACUCCAACGUCUUCUCCAUUUUGUUUGUAUUAAUUUUCUAUUGCUGCAUGCUAAAUUACUGCUAGCUUUUAGAGGCUUAAAAUAAGACUGAUUUAUUUUCUGGCAGUAUCCACAGAUGAGAAGUUGAGGCCUGGAUUAGCUGGGUCUUCUUCUCAGGGCCUCACAGGCUGAAAUUAGGCUGGGUUUCUUUCUGGAGUUUCUGGGGAAAAACUUGCUCUCUAGUUUCCUCAGGUUGUCAGCUGAGUUCAGUUCCUUGUGACUGUAGAACUGAGAUCUCUAUUUUCUUGCUGACUGUCAGCCAGGGGCCUCUCGCUGCUCCUGGAGGCCUCCCAUGUUCCCAAUACAUGCUUCCUCCAGCCAGAAGAGGAGAACCGCCCUGCAUGGAAACCCUCCUGCACUUCACAUCUCCCUAGGAAGACCUCAGUCCCUCCAAGGAACUCACCUUCAUUAGGUCAAGCUCAUAAGAUCAUCUCUCUAUAUUAAAUUUGACUGAUCUGAGAUCUCGAUUAUAUCUGCUAACUUGUUUUUGCAUUAAAUUGUAACACAAUCACAGGAGUGAUGUCACUGGCCUUUGUCUACAGUCAGGAAGAAGUGAUUAUAUGAGAACAAAGAUCACUGGGGGUCAUCUUAGGAUUUGACCAUAAUAUUAUAAAGACACAGUAAUUAAAAGAGUAUAACAGAUUUUUGGUUGUUUCCCCUAGAAUAAAUCAAAUCAGACUAAUCCUGCCUCCAUAAACAAGCAUAAAAUUGUUUUCAGACAGUGGACAACAGGCAGUACAACAGGAAACUAAAGGGGGGGGCCCAUGAUUUCCUAGUUCUUUAGGGAGAAUUUUUCAGCAGCUGCAUCGUGGGCUGGAGUCCACUCAGAGCAGGACAGCCCCACUGAGGUGAGAAGGCAGAGAUCAGAGUUGAAGUCCACUGAAGCAACUGCAGUCUGUGGGGCAGGGCAGCAAUGAGGAGACAGCUGUUCAGAGGGGCAGCUGUCGAAGUCCAUGAGGGGUUCCAUGUGCAUACUUAUCAAGGACGGUACUGUACCUGCACAAGGAAAAGACAAACAGAUUUAACAGAGGGGUGGCUGCUGUCAAAUUGAGUUUAGACCAGAGGUAGUUGAGGUGGAGGAGGGUUGGGGAAUAGAUGAUGAAGCUUCUGCCAUCCAGGGUGGGAAGAACUCACACACACCUCAUUAGCACCUGGGUAUCCAACUGAGACACUAGAAUGACUGUG
ensembl:lncRNA